UACGUAGGGCGCAAGCGUUGUUCGGAAUUACUGGGCGUAAAGGGCGCGUAGGCGGCCCGCUAAGUCGAACGUGAAAUCCCCGAGCUCAACUCGGGAACUGCGUCCGAUACUGGCGGGCUUGAAUCCGGGAGAGGGAUGCGGAAUUCCAGGUGUAGCGGUGAAAUGCGUAGAUAUCUGGAGGAACACCGGUGGCGAAGGCGGCAUCCUGGACCGGCAUUGACGCUGAGGCGCGAAAGCUAGGGGAGCAAACGGG
rnacentral:rRNA from 1 species